CUACUCAUGCCCGGUUAUCCGGUCGCUACCAGAGGAUGGCCUCCCCAAAUCACUUCAAAAAUUAAUUGUCUGGAAUUGUGGCAGCGCGGAGCUAAAACAGCAGUGCAAAGGGUUAGUGGGAACCAUCCCAAAAAUCAUCCUGCAACUGGAAGACUUAUAAAAGGUCUUUGCCUUCGAGUUCCCGUGUACAUUGUUCUUCUUUCUUGCGGUUGGUGUACAUUCUUCUAGCUGUACAAUUGUCACAUAGAUGAAGGUCUUGUGGCCAGCUUCUUGUACAUAAAUCUGGUGUUCUUCUCAAAAUAUUACAUGUACAUUUGGAUUUUCGUUUCUCCUCAAAUAUUCGAUGGUCUACUAAGUAGUUCUGGUGUGAGAAUCAGAAUAUUACCACAGCAUAAUUCAGAAAUGAAGUAGACUUUGGUGCUACACUAUUGAUAUUACCAAAAACCUUCUACCUUCCUGUACCUAAAUCUGUUUUCUGUGCAGGUGUUCUUAUGUUUUACUCGUAGGCUUCUAUACAUGCUUUGCAUUUAAAUUUUGGUAGCCAUCGCUCAACAGGACAUGGUGUACACGACUAAUUUCAGUGUCGAGAUCAAGAUAUUACCACGAAAUGAUUGUAGAGUGUUCUUAUGUUUGGUCUCAUAGGCUUCUACAUACUUUACAUUUAAAUUUCGUCCGACAUCAAUUGUUAAGACUUGGUGGGUGUAUGUGGCAACUUUGGGUGUGAGGAUCAAAAUAUCACCACAUAAUAAGCGAGACUUCUGUGCUUCGCUACUGAUAUUAAGGUAUCAUCAUGUUUUCUCUGGCAUGGUUCCUGGUACUUAGCGUUUUCAUUUGGUUGUUACUCACAAAGACUUGGCGGUGUACCUAGAAAGUCCAGGUUUGAAGAUCAAAAGAAAGGUAUAACAGUUUUCAGUCGUUCGCUCUUUUCAGUCCUUCCUAUUUCAAAUAACAUGUACUCUCAGAAUCUUACGUCAGUUACGGCAUUAAUUUAGUUGGUGCAUCUGUUGGAUCCAACUUCAUAUAUUUAGUUGUCAGGCUAUCACUGAAAGGUUUGUCUAGUAUGUUCGCCCUUUGCAUCUAUAUGGAAGGUGGUUCUGUAAUUGUUCGCGUUUCUGCGCAAAAGUAGGAAUGUUAAUUGACUUGUGCUUCCAAGUUUUCAGGGUGAACAAAGGUUCUUCCUUUUGGUUGAUCGCCCUGGCAUGCAUGUGGUACUAAUCUGGAACUACACAACACAUUUGUUGAAACAGUGAAUAGUUGAAGCAAUAGUGGAGGAUGCUUGCUGUGACAAGAAUUUAGUUGCUCCUGGGUUGCUUACAUGUGAAUCUUGCCUAACUAGUGACUGAUUUAGUUUUGUUGAUCAACCUCAUUUGAAGCAAUGGAUCGAAUUGGCUAAAAGAUGUGGAUGAGCCAGCCAGUUUCUGCUACUGUAACUCCCACAAAAAAAAAGCGAACCAAACACAUCUUCAUUCUUCAGCCCACAAGAAGUGUUACAAGUGCCGGUGUGAUGAGAAAAGUCAAACCAGGCCAUUCAUUUUUACCUUCGCAUCACAUAUAAGAUGGAAGGCGGUGGCGAAAUGAUCAGCGUUUGCUUCACAACAAUAGAAUGCUGCUGGUCCGGCUUGCCUGAAGUCUUGCCGCUUGCUGUUGGAUACGGGCCCUAUUGAAACAAGGUGGAGGGGCAUGGGAGAUGGACAAGAGGUGGAUUUUUCCGAAGCAAACGCAGACAUCCAGGGACUUUCAACAGGGGCUGCCACACAAAAAGGUAAAGGGAAAGGGGGUGGCGGUGGCGGUGGAAGAGGAGUGCGCCGCAGCGCAGGAGGAGAAUGACGGCUAUCAUAUCAUCAGCAGUGCGCCGCAUUUACUGCACUUCGGCAUGUUUUGUAAGGGGAACAGCAAGGGAAGAGUUUGUAUUUCUCUCUCUCUCUGAAUCCUCUGUUUCUUCCAAAACAGAAAAAGAGUAAGAAAGAAAUUGGUCUGAGACUUCUCCUUCCAACACAAUCCUCUGUUUAUUGUGUUGGUAGUAGUAGACUAGUUUACUCGCUGCCCGUGGAAAGACUUGGCUUGCUGUCAAAGAGGGAUCCCUUCCUUGAUGAACAAUCAAUGUUUGGCUCCAUCACUCCCCUCUUCUAUAUGACAUAUGUCCAAAAACCA